GCAGAGCAACACAACUGGCGGUUGAAAAACAGAUGCCUCCUUCUGUAGUGUUUAUAGUAGUUCCAUUUGCUAAGAAAGGAUUAUUCGUUGGAAUCGUGUCUCUGUUCGGUUGUGUGUUACCAUCUCUUCGACAACAAGUGCUGACAUCGAAGUAGGUUUUGGAACAUGAAGAGCUGAAGUAAGUGUGUGCCUGUAGUGGAUACGUAUUUCUCCUCUAUUUCGAAGAUAAUUUUGAAGCUUAAGAACUAAAAUGCACAUGCAUAGCAUUACUACUGCUUACAUACGCCAAACAGGCAUGAGCUUGAUCUUGGAACGACGAUCCUAUGUCAGAAGUAAUUGUUCUGGGCGGCAUGUAAACGUCCCAGAUGCGCAUACCACGCAGGAUGAAUGAAGUUUCAGUGCCACCUCGCCAACAAAUGUGUUUCGUCGCGCGAGGGUGAGGGCGUUUUUUAUUUAUUAAAUUAACAUAAAUUCUGAACGCACACAAACGAAACAGAAGCCUUGGAAUUAUCCACGAUAGCGGAGUUGUAUGUUUGUAUAGUUUGCAAUGUUUUGAUCCGAGCACUAUGACUAACCUAGGACUUGUUCAGGAAAUAUGGGGGGGAUUGAGCAGUAUGAAAAGUAUUCAAUUUAUCACAUUAAUUGUCUAUUGUGUUGUCCUUUGCCACUCGAUCCAAGUGUAGUACAUUGUUUCGAUCAUCACAAGAUUAUGCACACGUAAGCCAUUAAAAAUUACGAUAAACACUUCUAUGCUUUAGCGCAUGAAGCGCAUGAACAAAAAACGAUCGGGAUUGUAUUUGAAGUGUGUAAAAUUUUAGGUGCUAACUGAUAACAUAAUAACCUAAUUUUUUACAUAAAUAACAACUUUGGACAUAAAUAAUCAAAUCAUUAAUAAAAUAAUAGUAAAUUUUGUGUAUUUUCUUUUAAAUUUUUUAUUAAUGUACGUUAAUUAUCACAAUUUAAUUUCAUCCACCGAAAACUAUUCAUCUUCAUUCCCUGAUUCACUGCUUACUUCCCAAUAGUAAUUACCACUAUUAGUUAAUCACUUCAUCAGCGCACUUUUGGCUUUUGCUUGCCACGUAAAAAAAAAACUUUAUCGUGCAAAUACUUCCUCGAGUCAAAUGCUAACGUAACAAAAAUGUCCUAAAUACUUCCCAUAAUUCACUAACCCAGCUCACCUCACCCUCGGCCUAGAUCCUGCUUGGCCGGCGAAAAGCACUUCCGGCAGUGACCCCACCGACACAUUGCAAGCUCAGUCCACGCAACAAUCGCGCGCGCGAGGAUAUGAAGGUGUAAGCGAAAAUAUUAGCCUGAUUACAUUCGGCUUUUAUUGCUUAUUUCUCACCCUUGCUUCAACGGGGAGGUGGUUUUCCCCCGUCUAUAAUGAGAGUUCCUUUUCGGAACCUCCAAGCACACACGCACGCACGCACGCACACACAUACCCCCAUACAUCGCAGAUAAUCGUACGUCAUACCAGCGCGCCCCCGUUGGUCAAAAAAGGAAUGUCUUGAAAAUCGCAAUAAAUGUGCCGAUGAUAAAUGGAAGUAAAAUCAUUAUCGUAGCAAUCGGGCGACCCUCGGCGGGCUUCCCGGGAAAUUUGCUCGCAUUUUCACCGACGUCAAAACAAUCGGUUUGUCGCCAGAAGGCUCCUCGCGCAAGGAACGGCGGAAGAAGUCGUCAUUAGCCAAAAACAAAACAGAAAAACCAUCCAUUAGCAAGCGGUUCGGCGUGAUUUAUUCGGCAACAAAGGGCAGGUCUACGGCAAAGGGUUCGUUGCUUUGAUUAAGUAGCUGGCCGUUUCGGGCACUAGCCUUCGUUGUGCGAAUGUCAGCGUGUUUCGCUAUCGAAUGCGAAGGAGUGCUGAGGGUUUUCCUUGGUUGCUCUAUUGCGAAAGCGUCCUGAUGCGCCGGAAUCCGGCCGGCCGGUGGUCCCUGCAUAGUGAUGAAUUAUUUAUUUCUCUUGCGCUUUUCCGGUUAGCACAGUUUGCUGCCCCUUUCUUGACCAUUUUCCUUCCUCCCCUCCAAAAACAAAGCAGCUCCUUACAAAGCUAAAGAUACAAUUAGUUUCUCCGCGAAAACGAUAUGACUAAUGAAGGCUUUCCAAUGCUAACGCGGCUUACUUCCCGUUGCGUUGGUCACACAUUUCCGUUCAAUUGCAUUAAAUCGGCGGAGUGAAUGUGUUGUGAAAUAAAUUGUCAUUAGGCGCUCCACUCGGGUCGUUGUGAGUAUCAAGGACGCACCUAGGCCGGUCGAGCGGAAGGUGGUCACUGGUACUACUCCGGAAGGCAAUCAGUGACAAUUUGUUGAUUAUUAAUGAAAUCCCUAAUCGAUAAAAUCUACUCGGAGUGCUGUUUUUAGAGCACUGCUCCUUUUUUUUUGGUUAAGGAUAUUGAAGAGAUUUAGCGCAAGCGAAUAAAACGCUUUCGGUUGGUGGGACUAUGACAUGAAAAAGGGCAACACUGUUCUCGUGCCAAAGGCGUACACUUUCGUGCAGCAAAAUUGCACGGAUUUUUGUUUGUUGGAGUUCGUCGUUUAUGAUGGUAGCGUGUUACGUCGAAGCAUGAUUGCAAAACUUGCUCGAAAACACUCGACGCGAUUUGGGUCUAAUUUAUAUACUUUUAUGUUCUCGUGCUCUUUUUUUUGCAAACCUGAACACAUCCCUUUACAUUCGCUUAUCAGAGACGUCGUUUUAAGCGAAGUUUCAUGCAGCACGCAAAACCAGUCCUCUUAUCAGUGUGUUGGACAAUAGUUUUUUGUUUUUAAAUCAAUUUUAUAAAGAACGAACCCGUUUGUGUUUUGUUUUUUUGCUCGCCAAACAGCUUACUGCUAUCGGUUUGAUUAAAGAAAUCGUCGUCUCUACCGAAUGGAUUUGCAUAAUCAGGGCUUUGGGACAAUAGCAGGGAAAGAAAACAGUUCGAAAAAGAAAUAAUUAUAAUCCAACAAUCAAAUCCAAGUCACGAAAACAGCACCCGCCCCGGGGGGAGGGUUUGUAUUGUGCUAAAUUGGAUUAGUUUUUGCGCUGCUUCACGCGCUGAAGUUUAGAUAUUUUCUGUUUCUGCGACGUCCGGAAACAAAGAAAUUCUUUCGUGAAAACGCUGCUGCACGAAAUGUGUGUCGAAAAUAAAUGUUAUAAUAAUAAUAUGCUCUUCCUCAUACUAGCGCCUUUGCACUACACACACACACACACGAUCAUUUUUGGCAGUGUUCUUGAUGGCACAAAAACCUGUCUCCCCCGGACAGUGGGCGACGUCAAAGCGCAAACCGUGAUUGCUGUUUCGAUCGGCAGGCGGAAACGCUCGACAAUCUUGCCUUCGUCAUUGCUACCCUCGCUGCUGCUGCCUCGUAGCGGACGGCAAUGCAUCCGGUGCUCCGAGCAUAACUGUGGUGCUCGUGGUUCAGUUCAAACGCCGCUGAUGGUUGACUAAGUGUGUUGAUGUUUUUGGCAAAAAUACCUCCACCACCUGCAUGUGUUUCCGAAGCCGAAAUCCAAAAUUGUGUAGCAAAAUUCUAAGAUUGUGGAUGUAUGUGGAGGUUUAGUGUGUAGAAAUAUUCAAUCAAAGACUUUUAAGAAGGAAUAACAUUUACUUUUGCAGACUAGUUCAAGUCCAAGUGACCAAGUGUGACCAAGACCAAGAUUAUUAAAACUAACUGCUAGAAAUCUUAACGUCAACCCUCUUCUGUUCAACACUUGCAAGCAUUUUACAUUUUUAUACUACGAUUAGUAACAUUCGUGGUUUUAAUUUAAGAAAUAAUUAGAAAUAAACAGUUAAAAUUCGAGAUGAAAUGAAAUAUGUUGGAAUAAAGAAAAGGAUAAAUAUUAUUGAAAAUCUUUCCAAUCCUGGUCACGGCACCAGGUAAUAUAUUGCGAGAAAUGUACUCUUAUGAGCAAUUUUACCAAUGCUCAACGACCCAAAAACUAGUAUCAUUUGGUCGAAUAGUAUUCCAAUAGAAAUCUCAUAGAGAAAACCACCAGAGUGGAUGGCUCGACAGGCUACUAAGACAAAAAGUCAAAGGAUUUCACUGAAACACGCCAAAAUGCAAAUGUAUUCCUUUUGCCACUAAUGCCCCACACCAUCAAUUGCAAUCAUGCGAAUGUAUGUGACCGUUCGGAAGGCUAAAGCUCCUCCAUCCCCACGGGCCGUAAAUUCUCACCGAAGUAACCCACCACCGACCAAGGCUAAUCAAAUCAAGCUAAUCUCGACGUACGAUACUCCUCCGGCAAUUCGCGCGGUACCUGUCGCGGUGCGGAGACGGACUGGAAAAGCUCGUAAAAAUCAAAAUCGCAUAAAUCGUCACUUCUACUCACAAAGGGUGUAUUGUUUCUAUUUCAUUUACCCCUGGUUCACCCAACUCACGGGCCGUCGCUAAAAGCCACCACCACCACCUCCACGAUCUAAGCCAAUCGAAAUCCGACCAGGAGGGAAUCAAACAUUAAAUAAAUCUACGGACAUCCAGCGACGCCCGCGUACUUGCUGCUCACUUAUCAUUUGUAGCCACCUGGUUUGCUUUACUUACUUUGCCUCCUUUUUUCCCUCUUUUCACUGAAAGCUUAAUUCCGGUGGCUAAAAGCCAAUAAAUAAGCUUUGCAUUAGUCACUACCACAGUCUGCCACACAGUCCGCCAAACGGCGUCGGUUUGGCAUUUCCCUUUCUGGUGCUCCCAUUUUUCAUACUUAACUCUCAUUAUCAUUCCCAACCGGUUGGUUUGGUAUGGUUGGCUCCAGUGGUCGAAAAACUGCGCGAUGGAUUCGUCCAUCCAUCUCGUGCACCAUCGCCGUCGUAAAUCGCGCACACUAUGCGUUGCCCCCAAACCCAAAACCCUACUCGUGCCUCGCGUCCUACCUAAUGUUUGGCUGUUUGUUUUGCCUACUGCCAUCAAAGAUUAGCUCGGAAUAGGAACGCCGGCCACCCUUUCUUUACCUUCAUUUCUCAUACGGCUAGGGUGUGCUUCUGGUGGUUGGGUUUUUGUUUUUCAGGAAAAUUCCUUCAUGUCUCCACUCUCCACUCCUCCUACACGACACGCCCGGGACGACGAAUGCGAAUAACACGGUGAGACGACGGUGCAAAAGCGGACACAUAAAGUCGGACUGCCCAAAUGAAAAAUAAUAAAACAAACUUCCCGUUUUUCCCGUCCCGCGGCUGGCGGUUUGGUGUGUGUGUGUGUGCUUAUUUGUGCACCCGCCGCUGGGUCCUGCUGAGACAGGAGACGAUGGCCAAAGUGAUGGCGAUCGACACUAAAUGAAUCUUAUGACUGUUUGAUAGUUUUUGGCACGCAAAUACGACGGACCCCCUACACUGUGGCAUCGUCUUAAGAAAAGGGGGUAUUUUGUGAAGGGUUUGGCACACACACACACACACCAAGAGGUCCCAACAAGAGUCCCCACACACCAAGCACACGGUGAUAGAAUGAGUUCAAAAAACCAAACAGUAGUACGGGAGCUGGUUGGCUGCGCUUUGUGUUGAAAGGUGACGAAAUAAUGGACACUUUUAGCAAACACCUCCUGCUGGGAAUGUUCACUAAUGCUUAUUUAGGGGAGCGCACACGUGGUAAAGGAGGACAUGUUGCGACCAGGCCAAUGGAGUAGUGCCGUAAAAACAAAGUUUAUGUGCUUCAGAAUAGAUCCACAAGUCUCCAUCUCUGCUUUAAGACGAACUAAUGCUCUCAAAUUAAAUUUACAUCCAAAAAAUAACCUCUUUUUUUCUCUGUCACUCCAAGCGCUUGGUUUUGGAGAGACUGUCGAUUUAAAACAAAUAAAACAAGAAGCUGUGCUAAGUCCCCGUUUAGACCUCUCCGCAAAAUCGAAAGAAAAAAAACUAUGCGAUGCUGUUGUUGUUGUUUGCUAUUUUUGGACAUUUUUAAGAACUGGCGAACGAAUAUUUUGUAACAGGUAAUCGUUCGGCUAUCAUCAUUCGCCCUCAAAACCGGCCACCACCACUAACGCUCAUCAAUAUUUCAAUAAUUAAUGCAUCCACCCACCGCUCUCCGUCUCAUACCUCUUCGGCAGUCCGCGUUGGUCACGUGGCGACGGCAGUGUUUGUGUUAGAUUAGCAUUUGACCUUGACAGUGAUGCUUGUGUGGCUGCGAUGUGAUGAUUACAACUGGGAACUGGAUUCGUCAAUUAAAAAAAACAUUCCGGUACAUACGGUACUAUAAAUAAACACAAUUUGCGUUUGUAAGUUUAGCAAUAUUGGAUAAGAGUUGUGCAGAGAUAUCCAGAAUUUAAUUGAUCCCGGCAUGGUUGGCACAGUGGUGCACUUUGAUAUGAGUGAAUGGACAUAAUUAAUUACUGGCCACUCCCCAACACGGUCACAUCGAAUCAGCAAAAGGAAGAUAUAAUAAUACGUAAUUCUGUUAUCUUCAUCGUUUUGUUACAAACUUUUUUGUAAAUUUACACAGUUUAAUUGUUGGGGAAGCGCAAAAUUGUGUGUUUGUACUAAAGGAUACAAGCUCUAAAGUAAUGUUUACAAAGCAAUGAUCCCAACAAUUAAGACUUCCAAGACUCAGUCGUGUUCUUUACAGAGUAAGUUAUG